rnacentral:lncRNA from 1 species
AUGCCGGGGGGGCAGCCCACGCGCGGUGGCCGUCUCCGGGCUUUUGCCGCGCGCCGGGCUGCGGGCUGGCAGAGCAGCAGCCGUGCUGUGGUGGGCAGCUUGGGGCAGGAGAUUUGCACGGCUGCGGAAGGGUGCACGACGCAGGCCAGGCUGGCCAUGCCUGCACAAAGUCCCCACUGUGGUUCAUCUCUCCUCCUCCGUGCUCACCCACAACUUUUAAGGUGCUUCAAGGUGGGAACGAGGGGCCUGGACCAUGCCUGGGCGCUGCGGAGAGCAGGGUCAGCAGGGGGACCUCGAGGGAAGGGCUUAGGAGAAGGAGCUGGGAGGCAAGGUCAUCUGGGACCUGGUGACCACUUUGAACAGAUCCCACCUGCCGGGCCCCCAGAUCCUCUCCCCAAAUCCCGUCCCUGCACCUCCUGGGCUGACCGACCCCAGGAGACGCGGUCCCCAGCUCCCAACCUCUCCCCAGCCCAGCUGGGGUGGCGGGUGGGAAGGUGUCCUCCCAGGACACAGCUUAAGGACCAGGAGAGCAAAGCCAGGCGACGUUCAAAAGCAUCCCUGGAAUGGCUAAACGUUACCGGAGCGAUCCCUGCCUGGUGUAAACAAACAGCAAUGGCUUUGCUGGAGAGGGGCCCGUUUCCACUCGCCCCGGCUCCAGCUCGGCCCUCUCCCAGCCCUGCGUGUAGCAGACUGCCUGGGAAGUGCCAAGACGAGGGGGGACUUAUCAGCCAGCGUCGGGGAAGGGGGAAAAGAUGCGUGAAGAAAAGCGAACAGGCAGGCACACGGAGGGAGCGCGUGAAGCUCUGCCAGGAGCUACCUGCUGGGCUUCAUUUCAGACUCCAUCGGGGCUGGGGGAAGGCGCUGGGAAGCGUGCAGCGCCGGGGGAGCUCGGCCAGUGUCGCCCGGAGCCCCCGGCACCCGUGCCCAGCGGGGCACGAGGCCCGCGUCCGGGAAGGGCUUUCCCAGGUGCUGCGAGGCGGAGAGAAAGUCCGUCUGCAUGGAUGGGGAGGGAGGGCUGCAGCACGGAAAGGGAAAGAAAGAAGAAGAGGGUAUUUUUUGUCCUUCUGUGUGCGAUAUACACUGAACUGUCUGUCUGUUGGUCCAGCCUGGCAGCUCUAA